rnacentral:rRNA from 1 species
UACGUAGGGUGCGAGCGUUAAUCGGAAUUACUGGGCGUAAAGCGUGCGCAGGCGGUGAUGUAAGACCGAUGUGAAAUCCCCGGGCUUAACCUGGGAACUGCAUUGGUGACUGCAUUGCUGGAGUAUGGCAGAGGGGGGUGGAAUUCCACGUGUAGCAGUGAAAUGCGUAGAGAUGUGGAGGAAUACCGAUGGCGAAGGCAGCCCCCUGGGAUAACACUGACGCUCAUGCACGAAAGCGUGGGGAGCAAACAGG